CCUACGGGAGGCAGCAGUGGGGAAUCUUGCGCAAUGGGCGAAAGCCUGACGCAGCAACGCCGCGUGCGGGAAGAAGGCUUUCGGGCUGUAAACCGCUUUCAGCAGGAACGAAAAUGACGGUACCUGCAGAAGAAGGAGCGGCCAACUAUGUGCCAGCAGCCGCGGUGAUACAUAGGCUUCAAGCGUUGUCCGGAUUUAUUGGGCGUAAAGAGUUCGUAGGCGGUCAAGUAAGUCGGGUGUGAAAAUUCUGGGCUCAACCCAGAGACGCCACCCGAUACUGCUUAACUUGAGUUCGAUAGGGGAGUGGGGAAUUCCUAGUGUAGCGGUGAAAUGCGCAGAUAUUAGGAGGAACACCGGUGGCGAAGGCGCCACUCUGGAUCGAUACUGACGCUGAGGAACGAAAGCAUGGGUAGCAAACAGGAUUAGAUACCCUGGUAGUCCAUGCCGUAAACGGUGGGCACUAGGUGUGGGUUUCUAUUAACGAAAUCCGCGCCGUCGCUAACGCAUUAAGUGCCCCGCCUGGGGAGUACGGUCGCAAGACUAAAACUUAAAGGAAUUGACGG
rnacentral:rRNA from 1 species